UGAUGUGAAAAUUAAUUUAGUCAUAUCUUGUCCAAACUAAAAACAUUGAACCAUUUUAAAGGAAAGCAGCUUCCCAAUGUUGCCAUAUAUUGUUUUAAAAUAAUUGUAAAAAGUAGUUGCUCACGUAACAGCACUGGGCCUGCCAUUGACCUUGCACGAGAUGCCUCACACACAUCUGAGAGGCUGUUACUGUGGACGCAGUCCUCAGUGCUGCUGCUGCAUGGGACCCUGCUUCAGAGGAGCUCUGCAACAGCAAAAGUGCCAAGCAGAUCGAAGAGGACACAGCAGGACCAUGUGGGGCCCUCCUCCCAGUGGAAGCUUCCUGACACAGCCUGCACCCCAGUGGACUUCCCAAAGCAAGUUGAGUCUGACUUCGCACCCCUGACAUCAGAAUCAUCUGACUUCUGGGCACGCCACUGAAUACUGAUGUACCUGAAGGAACCCUGGGUACCAAACAUGCUCAAGUGAAUGAAUGGUGUCCAGGACAAAGCCCAGCAGGGUGUAUGAAGAAAGGGCUUCAGCAGAAACAGAGGCUGAAGCCUGCGUGCUGGGGGCCGAGAGGCCAGAGGAGAAUGUGAUGAGACAUAGAAUUGGUAGUGCAGGAAGUUGGAAGAUCAAGUACCGUGAUGUUGGUGCUGGCUGCUUGUGUUAAACUGCCUAGGUUUUAAUCUACGGUAAUUUUCGCCCACCUGUGGGGCUCCCCUGGUGCCCCAGCUGUGAUGGGGUAACUGAACUGCCACCAGGGCCAAGCUGUCAGUGGCCCAGGAUCUGGCGCUUGGAAGAGUUCUGAGAAGCACCCCUGGAUCAAAUGAGGAGAAACAGACUUCAUCCAUACCUAUUCCCAUUGU
rnacentral:lncRNA from 1 species